AGUUAAGGUUUGAUGAGAGAAGAAAAGGAGGGUCGUAUAUGUUCAAGAUUUAAAGAGAGAAGACUGGGUGUUCUGUCUGAGAAAGAUGUGCUGGCUGCCGAUAGACCAGCCUUUGCUCCUGCCCGGUGACUCCACCUGCAGCGCCCGGCGACCCUCGCCGUGCUCGGUGGCUCAGCUGCUCGCGUCUCGCCUGCGGAGGAUCGGAGACCAGCUGGAGAAAAGCUGGACGGCCAGGGAGGCGGACAGCGGCUUCAACUGUGGGGGCGGAGGGACGGUGGUGGUGACCGGGACAGGCCACUUGAAGAGCUUCCUGUGCACUGCAAUACAUUUGACCGUGCUCGUGCUGGUCGUCGCGAGGCGACACCUGUAGGGCGCGAGGCGACAACACCAGCAACAGAUGGUGCCUUUAGGACCAUGCAAAGAGGAACGGGCUCUCAUCAUAUGCACUAAAAGCAAGAGAUGCAGGAGAGUCGGAGGAUGCGGUCCAGGAUGUAAAGUGCAGCAACUAAAAGACCGACCGAGGAGGAGGAGGAGGAUUUAACUUCAAGUCUGACUAAACUCCAUGUGUCAUGAAGACUUCCUCAGGCCCAAUUUGGAUGCACUUGAGUUUCAUAUCGAGCUCACACACUGAACCCCAGCAGCCCUGCAGUCAGCCAGUUGCAUGUCCUGCCCCUGCGUGACUCUCUGAUUCAGUCAUCCCAGUUAUAAAACGGUGAUGUAAUCCUCCCCUGGUAGAGUGGAGGGAAAAGCUUACUAAUAGGACUCCUUCAAAUUAUCACCUCCCACGAUGUGAGUGCAUGAAUGACAAAGGGGUUAGACUGAUUAGACCUUUUAAUUGUUUGUAUGUAAGGCUACAGCAAUCCUGAAACAUGCACUGAAAUAGACCUGUUUAUGAGCUUCAUAAUGCACUGUACUUUUUUGUUACAUAAGCUAUACUGUAAGUGUAAGCUUGUAAAUAAUGAGAGGAUAAAUGGUUUUAUAGAUGUUUUCUACAGUGUUUAGGUGAUGUUUACACAUUCUCCUGUGCUUUAGCAUUAUUUGUUGGGGGCAGUGUUAAGUGGCUUUUCGUCAUAAACAAGAUACAGGACCUGUGCAUCGGAAGCUAUGCUGUUAAUGCUGUCUGUGGUUUCCAGAAAUAAGCUUUCUCUGAUAUAGCAAGUGUAAUGUGAGCAGAAUUACUGAACAUGUCUUUUUUAUAAAGUGUACGUGUUAUUUAUACAAAAUUUAAUAUUUCAUAUGGAUUUUUAGUAGUUACCGUAAUAAAAUCUCAUUCAUCUCAA